rnacentral:tRNA from 1 species
GGUGGCAUAGCCAAGUGGUAAGGCAGAGGUCUGCAAAACCUUUAUCCCCAGUUCAAAUCUGGGUGUCGCCUCCA